rnacentral:misc_RNA from 1 species
GAUGAAGAACGUAGCGAAAUGCGAUAAGUAAUGUGAAUUGCAGAAUUCAGUGAAUCAUCGAAUCUUUGAACGCACCUUGCGCCCUUUGGACAUUCCGAAGGGCAUGCCUGUUUGAGUAUCAUGAACACCUCAACUCUCACGGCUUGUCCGUGAUGAGCUUGGACUUUGGGGGUCUUGCCGGCCUGUGGUCGGCUCCUCUCAAAUGGAUCAGCUUGCCAGUGUUUGGUGGCAUCACAGGUGUGAUAACUAUCUGCGCUUGUGGUUUUCCAUCAGAUAACCUUCAGUGAUAUGGAGGUUCGCUGGAGCUCACAAAUGUCCCUCCUUAGUGAGGACAGCUCUUUGAACGUUUGAUCUCAAAUCAGGUAGGACUACCCGCUGAACUUAAGCAUAUCAAUAAGCGGAGGA